rnacentral:rRNA from 1 species
GGAGGAUCCGAGCGUUAUCCGGAUUUAUUGGGUUUAAAGGGAGCGUAGAUGGAUGUUUAAGUCAGUUGUGAAAGUUUGCGGCUCAACCGUAAAAUUGCAGUUGAUACUGGAUAUCUUGAGUGCAGUUGAGGCAGGCGGAAUGCGUGGUGUAGCGGUGAAAUGCAUAGAUAUCACGCAGAACUCCGAUUGCGAAGGCAGCUUACUAAACCAUAACUGACACUGAAGCACGAAAGCGUGGGGAUCAAACAGGAUUAGAUACCCUGGUAGUCCACGCAGUAAACGAUGAUUACUAGGAGUUUGCGAUACAAUGUAAGCUCUACAGCGAAAGCGUUAAGUAAUCCACCUGGGGAGU